GCAUCGAUGAAGAACGUAGCGAAAUGCGAUACUUGGUGUGAAUUGCAGAAUCCCGUGAACCAUCGAGUCUUUGAACGCAAGUUGCGCCCGAAGCCUUCUGGCCGAGGGCACGUCUGCCUGGGCGUCACGCA
rnacentral:rRNA from 1 species